GCAUAUCAAUAAGCGGAGGAAAAGAAACUAACAAGGAUUCCCCUAGUAACUGCGAGUGAAGCGGGAAGAGCUCAAAUUUUGAAUCUGGCGGUCUUCGGCCGUCCGAGUUGUAAUCUAGAGAAGCGUCUUCCGCGCUGGAGCCGUGUACAAGUCUCCUGGAAGGGAGCGUCACAGAGGGUGAGAAUCCCNUCUUUGACACGGACCGCCAGUGCUAUNUGAUGCGCUCUCGACGAGUCGAGUUGUUUGGGAAUGCAGCUCAAAAUGGGUGGUAAAUUCCAUCUAAAGCUAAAUACAGGCGAGAGACCGAUAGCGAACAAGUACCGUGAGGAAAGAUGAAAAGAACUUUGGAAAGAGAGUUAAACAGUACGUGAAAUUGCUGAAAGGGAAACGCUUGAUGUCAGUCGCGUCUGCUGGGGAUCAACCUUGCUUUGUGCUGG
rnacentral:rRNA from 1 species